CCCUGGAGCAGCCCUGCUGGUUGCAUGGGCAGCACUGGGACUGACAGAAGCUUCCCAGAGUGACAGCCCAAGGCUGCCCCCCGGUCCGGCCAACGUCCCCGUGCAGCAGGUCCAUCCCUGACAGCUCCUCACAAAGCUCCAUUUGUGCCCUGAUUUCUGAGGCGAUUUCAAAGCCCAGGCUAAAUUACACAAACAUUUGGCUAUAGACAUAACAGGGCUGUUCUGCAGCGCUGUCAGCUCGCUGCCUCCCAGCCCGAGCACACCCUGCAUGUGUCUGUCAGGCCAUACUUGGGCAGCGCCGCAGCGUGUGCCGUGUCCCAGACACUGGAGUGAUUAUGUCUGGAUGCUCCUUAUCUGAUGGAAAAGCCGGCAGUGCUGCACAUCUGUGCUCUGAGGCUCCGCUGCUGCAGUGCCACGCCGGUAUUUAUUUUGCUUCUGCAAGUUAGUUUUCCUUGAGAAGCAGCAGGGGCCUUCUUCAAUGAACUGAAAAAUGUGUAUUGUAUGAAGGUCUGUGGAGGGUUUGCACCGUAGUUCAGUGGACAAAUGUGAACCCAGGGGAUGACAUUUCAUUUAAACAUUUGGUUUACAUCUUUACAUGCCAAAAAUAUUAAUGUCUUGACUUUAGCAAACUGAAUUCAGCACUUUUUUCUUUUUCCCCUUAAAUGAAGUAAUUAUAGCCAAAACACUCUGUGGGUAUUUGUUCUUCCUUCUCAAAGGUGGAGUUUCACACACGAACAUUUGGUUUCGGUGCUGGAAUUGUCAGUAGCUGCUCACUUGACACUUUCCCGUUAGUUUGUGUUGGAAACCACCAGGAGUUUCUUUCCUUGUGUUUAUUGUGUUACCCUCAGCCCUUUGAUCGGGACAUCUUGGAUAACAGCAAAGUCUAGCUCAGCGCCUGUUCACUAUUUAAAAGAAAGUGAAGAAUAUGGUUUCUAUCAAAGGAUCUACAAAGACAGUUAAUGUAAUUGAGAAGCAGAAGGGCAUUUAUGGAAGUGCAUCUGAAUGUCCUCUUCACAUGUAAUUGCAUCAGGAAUUCUACAUUAACAUGCAAGUGCUGUCCAAAGGGAGAAAAAAAAAAAAAGCUUAUUUUUAGGUAGAAGCCCUCAGUGGGCAGUAAAUUACCCAUAAUCUCCCCCAAACUGGCAAUUAGCCCUGUUUGCUGACUACCUGAAUUGUUUCACAGUAGUUCAGCACAGCCUUACCAGUUAUCACCAUACUUAUAAUCAGAGAUUCCAUGAAUGAUUCCCGCAGCUCCACAUACUGCCUGCCUAAGGUCAGCCGUAAUAACAAAUACAUUUUAUUUGCUUCUUUUGGCCCUUUGGAGCUGUUUUCUCAGGCUGCAAUAUGUGAGGAGAGCUGGUGCUGCCCUGCUGCUCAAAUGGCAAGAAUGUGAACAGAGAAAGCAAUUCAGAGGGAGCUGAAUUCCUGUCCUGAAAGAAGUGGGGAAGAACAGCUGUGCUUUACCUGAAGCACUGGUAAAGUUUGAAGAUCCCUAAUGAUGCACAGCACACGUGCUCUGAAGUGCAUCUCUGCUAGCUUCCCCCUUUGGAGAGCAUGAGGAGGAUUUCAUCUCCUUUGGAAUUCUGGGGAUGGGCUAAGAAAGAGAUUUUCAAGACACAAUUGGAACAUUUGAAUCUGUGGUACUGAAAGAAAAGCCCUGGUCACCAAGCAACUGAAGUUAGAAAUGUAAAUUAUACAGCUGAUUUCUAGAGGUGGGCAAAUACCCCACAGUGCCCAGCAAAGUCCCAGAGAGAUGAGUGGUGAAAGGAGAAAAGGAUAAACCCACACAUGGUGGUCUCAGGAGCGUAAGAUUUUUACAGGAUGGAACUGGAUGUUGGUGUGAAUAUAAGUGGCAAGAAUCUGGAGGCUCAUCCAGCACUGGCCUGGAUGAAGUCAGUGAUGGUCCUGAUAAGCAGAGAUUUCCACAUUAUCUGCAAUCACCAUGGAGAAAAUGGGUCUCAGUGUACGUGGUUUCUGUAUAAAUAGUGCAUCUCCAGCACAUUCUGUAGGUAAGUAGUGUCUGAUUGCAUAAUAAUAACAAUAAUAAAGAGAGAGCUGUCCAGCCUGCACAUGGGCCAAUUAAAGGAUCAAGUGCAUGAGGCUGCAGCACUCCUGGCAGGGGAGGAGCUGCCAGGGAGGUGCUUGGCUCACCAGUGCCCUCACCUCCAUCCUGGGCCUCCCACCGCAGCAAAUUGUGCCAUUCAGAGAGCUUUGUCCCUAAAUCCCUACAUGGAAGCAGGGGACAGCACGGUAUCCACUAUUUUAGAAAAACAGUGGAAAAACAAUGGCUGCAGCAGAGGCAAAACUCACCAGUUUGGGUGAAGCUCCAGCUCCAGUGCCUGUUUCACACUGUGCCUUACAGCUGUGCUGGGCAGGAUUUCUCCAGCUGGAGACACCAGACCCAAACCCUGCUGCGUGCCACAGCUAUGCCUAAGAAUUCAUGGAAAGCUGGAGGAAUGCACUUUAUGGGGUGGCUGGAUCAUAUGUUUAUGGCCUGAAAGAGGAGAUCCCAACCCAAACCACUUUGUUGGUCUCUAGUGGUGAGAGGCUGAAUAUGAACAUCAUAUAAUUCACGCUGGGGCGUGGGUAUGAAAAAGAGAACGUGGGCAAAGCCUGGGCCAGCCCACAGCCUCAGUAGCUGCCUUGCCAUUAAUUAUGGCUAAUAGCCUAAUAAACACCUUCACAUGCAGUGCCCUGCACGUUCAGCCUGUAGGAACCCCCUUGGAGAGAUGAGCCAGAAGAACUAAAUGUUAAACCCUGGCUGCUGGAAUUCUGCACUGCUGACAUUGGCAUUAAAGGCAUAGGGGACCAAGUGCUCUGGAUGCCUGCAGACAAUAAUUCACCCCCAAAAGGAACUUCUGACAGUUGACAACAAUUCAUGGGAUAUUUUCUGCACCCUCUGCACAGAAGUGGGUGGUUGUGACCAUGCUGGUGCUCUUCCGCUGGAGCCAGGUGACUGGAAACAACACCUGCCCUGGGCUUCCAUGGGCACAUCCCAGCCUGGCCACAGGCAUCACUAAUGCACUGCUCCAGAGGCUUUUUCCAUGGGAUAGUGGCACUGGCACUCCCAGGAGUGAAGCUGCUCCUCAGGAACAGCCACUUCCUCUCCUCUCAGCUCCUCAGAAGGGCAAAAGUUCCUGGUUUGGGCCUCAGAAAAAGUGAAGUGAAAUGGAAUCAGCCCCAUUAAAACCUCCCCAAAGACAGGAUGAGAUAUUCUCAUAAGUGAUGGGAAAAAAAAGAUGGGCAAACACAGCCUGCCUGGACAGGACCAGCCUCCCAAAGAGCCAUGGGAAAGGCUCCUGGGUCACAGGAGAGCUGGGAAUUCAACACUAACUAGCCUGCUGGGAUGCUAGGAAAAAACCCUAAUAAGCCAAAAUGCAGCUAAAGACACUGAGCACACUGAAAAGGGGGUUCUGUAGGUGGUUCUGCAGGGUUUUCCUUGUCCUCCCAACAAAACCAGGCCAAAAGCAGGACAAGCUGCUUCAAAGAGCAGAAAGAAACUGGCAGCUCCAAGCUCAGGUGAGUGUGGGCUGCCCUGGGCUCAAACCCAAACUGUGCUGGAAGGAGCUCAGGUUGAGUCCAUCAGUGCCUCACCUUGCUGGGCACACAGCUCUUUAUUUGGAAACCUAAAUACAGAACCAGUGCCCAGCCUCACAUGAUCAGAAUUUUAUCCUCUCUACAAAGACCGUCCAAAACAUGAGCUACCGUGCUGAAACCAAUAUUUGCUUUUUUUUGUUUUACCCCAACUCUAAUGAAUUGACUGAAAAGUUUCUCAGUAUCUUUGCCAUUAAUUAAAAAAAUAAACAUCUUGUGCCCCUUUCUGAAAACCCUGCGGAUGUAGCUCCUCUGUCCUGGACAUGCUUAGAUUUAGCUUGGUUCAUUCCCAAAGGCCAUGAUCCAGCCAGAUAUUCAGAAACCUCUGUAACUUCAACACACUUUUAAGGACUGCUCCAAACUCCAGCAGAAGUAGGGAAAAUAAAUUCUGUUAAAGCACCACUUUAUUUCUUUCAAAUCUGAUUUUUCGAGAAUCUUGACUGCAAUGCAUCACUUCAAAUAUUUCCUUCCUCAUGCAGAAUAUUUUAAUAUUAAGCCAGAUAUUUUUAUAUUUCCACAAAUUAAACGCACCAUGGCUGAAGGUUUGACAGAAGCUGUAAUUUGCACAUAAAAAGGUAGAACGAUUUCAGUUUUGACAGCACAAGCUUUUGAUUUGUUAAU